AUGAGAGGUUGGCGCGGGCGAAUGCCUUGUGAACCCGGUCAGGUCCGGAAGGAAGCAGCCGCAGCAAUUAUCAUUCGGGUCGCUGUCCAGCCUCUCACCCU
rnacentral:SRP_RNA from 1 species